AUGCACGAGAGUCCCCUGCCACAUCUCCAUGCCAAGUCCCGGGCUGCUGUGGGCAGCGCUGCCUGGGCUGGCCUGGAACUGGAGCAACUUGCCCAAGGGCUUUGCUCCAAGAGGAGAUGGCCCUGCUGGGCAGGACAUCUUCGAGGAGAGGAUGCGGUUGCUCUCCCUCCUGCAUGUGCCGUGUCUGGAAGGGCCGAGGCAGCGGGAGGUGGGGGCAGGUCUGGUUUAGGCUUGCGGCAAGGGGUUCCUGGCGGAGCCUGGAGCCCUGCCUUCGCUCCUGGUGUCUCCCGUGACGCUGAGCCCUUUCCUGCCCAGAUUCUCCCCAGGGCGCUCUCCUGCGCUGUUCUGCUCCUCCUGGUCGCCGCCGUGCUGAGCAGAGGCAAGAGGUGCAGCAUCGCCAAAAUCCUGCGGCAGUACCGCGCCGUCAUCUUCCACGAGAUCCAGAACCUGAAAAACCUGAGCGGAUCGGCAGACAGGAACAGCCGAGCCGGGCCAGCCUGCCGUUCGGACAAGGACCAGAAGAUCCUGCUGUCCAUCUACAACAUCAGCAUGUCCCUGCGGGACGUGGCGGCCGGCACGCUGCGUGGCCCCGAGGAGGUGGCGGUGUGGAAGGUGGCCAGGAACACGGAGGUCGUGCUUAGGGACUGCAGGAAAAUCUGCAAGAGCCUGCCGCCAGCUCCGGCGCAGCCCCGGCGCGGAGGGCCCGGCCGCCGCAGGAAGCAGCUGAAGGAGAUCGCGCGGAAGGCGGAGAGGCUGGCGACGUGCUGGGAGAAGCUCUACGCGCUCCGCUCCCCCGGCCGGGACGCCCGGGACUCGUAGGUCCUGCCUCCGCGGCGGCACGGCGGCGCCCGUCACCUCGCCCUCCCCGGCAGGUAGCAGCUCUCGGAGGGACCUUCCG
rnacentral:lncRNA from 1 species